ACUUCUAUACAGUUCAAUUUUUCUGUCAGUUCUGGUUGGUUUUUGUUUUUGAAUUUGUUGUUUUCCUUCUUUUGGUUGUGCGAGGAGGCAAAGUGUGUCUAUCUACGCCUCUGUGUUGGCCAGAAGUCAGCUUUCUUGUAUUAGGAAGUGGAA